rnacentral:lncRNA from 1 species
AAGGAUCCACACAUCAAGACAUGACAUACAUACUAAAACAUGUGCCCACAUGCAAAACCUAACGAUAGCCACUCUUUCAAAUUCACCCAUAAUACCUCAUACAUUCAGAAAUUUCAGGUUGAAAAUAUAAAGUAGUGGAAAUAGGGCGUACCUGAUUGGGGAGGAUCGAUUGAAAUUGAAUUGCACCGUUGGCUUUGCAGAAUAAUCUUAGGGUUUAUAUGAGAGGGAAUUGGUUCUUUGCAGAUGAGUUUCCUUU